rnacentral:rRNA from 1 species
UACGGAGGGGGCUAGCGUUGUUCGGAAUUACUGGGCGUAAAGCGCGCGUAGGCGGCUUUGUAAGUUAGAGGUGAAAGCCCGGGGCUCAACUCCGGAAUUGCCUUUAAGACUGCAUCGCUAGAACGUCGGAGAGGUAUGUGGAAUUCCGAGUGUAGAGGUGAAAUUCGUAGAUAUUCGGAAGAACACCAGUGGCGAAGGCGACAUACUGGACGACUGUUGACGCUGAGGUGCGAAAGCGUGGGGAGCAAACAGG